GCACAAGCGGUGGAGCAUGUGGUUUAAUUCGACGCAACGCGCAGAACCUUACCAGGGUUUGACAUCCUGAGACCGCUCCUGAAAGGGAGUUUCCCGCAAGGGCUCAGAGACAGGUGCUGCAUGGCUGUCGUCAGCUCGUGUCGUGAGAUGUUGGGUUAAGUCCCGCAACGAGCGCAACCCUCGCCUUUAGUUGCCAUCAUUAAGUUGGGCACUCUAGAGGGACCGCCGGCGACAAGCCGGAGGAAGGUGGGGAUGACGUCAAGUCCUCAUGGCCCUUACACCCUGGGCUACACACGUGCUACAAUGGCGGUGACAGUGAGCAGCUAGUUCGCGAGAACGUGCUAAUCUCAAAAAACCGUCCCAGUUCAGAUUGCACUCUGCAACUCGAGUGCAUGAAGGUGGAACCGCUAGUAAUCGCAGAACAGCAGGCUGCGGUGAAUACGUUCCCGGGC
rnacentral:rRNA from 1 species